GAGUGUUGUAUUCGAUCCGGUCAACCUAAGACCUUCGAGAGAAAGGUGGGAUAUACACAAAGGUUGAGGAGAAAUUGAAAUUAGUACGUUUACAUCAACAUACUACGGAUAAGCUUAAUGAGGUUCGAGUAACGGAGACGGACAAGAGACUUACUUACUUUGUUUGGUCUCCGAUUUGAGAAGACUACGAACACAAUACUACACUGGGAUUAGAGGUACCAUAUCCUUUCAGUCGGAUCCCCUGGCUCAUCUUCG